AGAUUCUCCUGCCUCAGCCUCCGGAGUAGCUGGGAUUACAGGCAUGUGCUGCCAUGCCUGGUUAAUUUUUUUAUUUUUAGGAGAGAUGAGGUUUCGCCAUGUUGGCCAGUCUGGUCUUGAACUCCUGAGCUAAGUGCUAUUAUCAUCUCUGGAGGACCUAAUUCUGUGUAUGCUGAAGAUGCUCCCUGGUUUGAUCCAGCAAUAUUCACUAUUGGCAAGCCUGUUCUUGGAAUUUGCUAUGGUAUGCAGAUGAUGAAUAAGGUAUUUGGAGGUACUGUGCACAAAAAAAGUGUCAGAGAAGAUGGAGUUUUCAACAUUAGUGUGGAUAAUACAUGUUCAUUAUUCAGGGGCCUUCAGAAGGAAGAAGUUGUUUUGCUUACACAUGGAGAUAGUGUAGACAAAGUAGCUGAUGGAUUCAAGGUUGUGGCACGUUCUGGAAACAUAGUAGCAGGCAUAGCAAAUGAAUCUAAAAAGUUAUAUGGAGCACAGUUCCACCCUGAAGUUGGCCUUACAGAAAAUGGAAAAGUAAUACUGAAGAAUUUCCUUUAUGAUAUAGCUGGAUGCAGUGGA
rnacentral:lncRNA from 10 species